AAAAUUCAUCUGCACCGUGUUCAUCUGCACGGUGCUUAAAACGUUGCCAAGAUAUUCAGUUGCAAAUACUACUUUUAAGGAAGGUGGAGGAUGAAUGAGCAAUCCGCAUUGUUUCAAAAAGAGUCCAAAAGCCAUUUUGCCCAUCCUCUGGGGCAGGUGGUUCCUGCCUGGCAGAAGAGGAGGAUUCCCGCAGCAUCAGUGCACCUCCGGACUGCUUCAGCUGCAGCUCUUGAGCCUCUUCCUUGCGCCUUCCCUAGGCGCUGCUGGAGAAGCAAGGAAUUUGCCAGUAAAUUCCCCAUGGAGCAGAAGAUAGAGCUGUAGGCUCAGCAAGCUGUUUGAUAACAGGCUAAGUUGUCAGCCUUUGCCCAUUAACAAUUUUUAUAUCCCAAAGUCCUCGAAGGCCUCUGCGCUAUCAGGGAAUGUGGAGAGGUUGCAGAGGCAGUUGAACACCAUAUCCAGUGUGUAUGGGCACAAAAGGACUCACCAUCAAAACUCGUUAAGAUAUAAUAAGAUGUUAGAGGUAUUAUUUCCAUAUAAUGACCUCUCAAUCAUCAGUACUCAAAAUAUCUAUGCCACAGCUUGAGUCCAGACACAAUUUUAGCUAAUGUGCAUGAGUGCAACUCCUCUGCUUGCCUCUUGCAGACACCUGCCCAUGCUUCCAGGCAGCACUGCUUCUGUGCAGGGCACUGGGGCAUCUGUGCUGCUGCUGCCGGUGCUCCACGGCCUGGGAGUGCCUCUUAGCUUACACCAAAGAAAGAGGCACCUCAGGAGAGGGAUUCAUCCCACCCCUUUUGGGCAAGUGGAGGCAGUUAAUCCCUACUUCUUUUCAGCUGUCAAUAGAAGGAUGUACUGGGGUAUAUGUGAUUUAGAUACCCCAUAAAAGAUUCUUCCGUAUCCAACUGGGCUUUUGAGCACUGGCUCAGUGUUAGUUAUGCUAAAGUCGGAGUGGAUCCUACAAAGAUACCGGAGUACCCCUGUACCAUCAUACUCCAUAGUGCCUUUGGAUCUGGAGAGGCAGCAUCAGCUCUGCCGUAGGACAGCACAAAACCAGGCAGAGUGGCUUAGCUGAUAUAUGAAAUCAUUAUUUACAUGGCUGGGACUGUGUGAGUAGCAUCUCAGCCUUUUCGCAAGGAUACACAAGAAAUCUGUGGUAAAGCAUAGAUGCAAAGUGCUCUAGUUGCUUAGCCAUCCUUCUGAGCUAGCAGCAAAUCAAUAAAAAGUAGAAGAGAGAUUUUGACCCUGUGAAUCUGCCAGAGUGGCCAUGUUGUUUGCUACAGUCCUAACUCCAAAUGUAGAAAGACUGGAGGAACAUUUCCAUGUUUAUUUUUUUCUUGUAUCGGUAAUGUGUUGACUAAAGAAGAUGAAGCUGAAGUAUUUAUUGAGCUGUUAUAAUUGCUGUAAUUUUUAAAAUUAUCAAGAGCAUCCUGAGAGGAGUUCUUUUUGUGAAUCAAAAUUAAUGAUUAAAUAUAGAAUGCAAUGACAUGCUAUUCCUUUCCAGAGCUGUUGGUAGUCCUGAAGAAGCUAAAUUGUAUUGUCAUCUGUUAAAAAAACAGGAUAAUCUGCAAUCUUCUUCUCUAAACUGUGGGUAAAUGUUAAAGUACAGUCUGAUUUCCUGCUAUUAAAAAAAAAGAGCAUGUAGUCCUGUCCCAUGUUUCCUAUUUUUGCAUUGUAGAGAUCACAACAAAAUUGCAUCUCAUACUGCAGAACUAUGAACAGUUCUGUGAACUAUGAAAUGAAAGUAUUAAUAAACUCUCUAAAUAAUCAAAUAGGUUCAAGACAGUUCCUUUUUGCAUACUAUUCCAGAUGGAGGCAGCCAUUUCUGAUGCAGAAGCCAAGCCAAAGAUCUGUUAUGAUGGCACAAAUUGCCUGCUAAAUAUUUUGUGGCAUCUUCCAGUGUGCCUCGUAAACUAUAAAGAUGCAGAAUUAUCCCUUCUUUGUGGGAAACAACUGCAAAGUGAGUAGUUUCGUAAAUGACUUAGGAAAAGCUAUGGGUAACUGGAGAUUCACAGGAUGCUUCUGCCUCUGUCAAAGUGGAGUAGAGUUUUGUCCUUGAUUCAACAGGAGCAAAAUCAGUCCUAGCAUGGGACGGUCUGCUUCAAAACCCACCAAACAGUUGGACAUGCAAAUUAUUAUACAUGGAUGCUGUUUAAAAAUGGACCAGCUUUUUCCCCAGGGCUUGGGAGAACACAGGCUGAUGAACAUACCAGCCAUGUUUGCUGCUGGCUGCAGAAACAACAGCCUGUCCAUGUCUGGCCCAGGUGAAAGCAGUGUUCUUCACACAGGCUGUGCUUGGUGUGCCCCAGGUUGGUCAGCAGGACAGAACAGUGAGAGCAGGACAGAUGGUUUUCAUUCAAAAGCGCCACUUCAGUGAGGAAAAAAGAUGCCAUAAUAAAUGCUGUUUGGUAUAACAACUCAUCAGGAUGGCUUCAGGUACUCAUGUAUGCCUCUCAUAGUAGGAUGAAACCAAAUAAUAGAAAGUAUUUCGUAUGAAAUAAAUACAGUACAUGACAAGUUUGGAAGAAAGAGUCAGCCAGCUGUUUCUGGACCUCAGUCAAUUGCAUGCUUGGCGCAUUGAUAGGUUUUGGACAUUAAAAGGAAGUUCUGCUUUGGUUCAGCUUAUGCUUGAGCUGUUCAUUCAUUGCAGGAUUUCUUGUUCUUUCAUCUGAAGCAUAUGAUCUGUAUCAUCCAAACCAGAUUUUUUUGACAGACAAAAGAAGCAAUUCCUGAGGAAGCUCUGCUUGCCUCCUGCAGUCUUGAAAGAUGCCAAGUGUAUUGGAAAUCUUCAGAGAAUUUAGCUGCCAAACUCUAUCAAGUUUAUGCUUGAACAUGUGUGAGCAGAGCUUUGCAGCAAGCCAAAUGCAGGCAGCUUUAUGCUGGAGGAGGGGCAGGCUUAUACAUGGACCCUCCUCCUCACCAUCUCCCCACCUUCCUCUCUGCAACUCUCCUCUCCCUAGUCCAGUGCCAGACUUCAAAGCACAGAGGCACCAGCACUUCUCAGGUAAGUGGUUGUGAAAGAAAGAAGGAUUGUGAAGAACCUGUGAGGGUUUAAUCUCAUUUUCAGAAACACCUACUGUUCAGCUGAAAUUUUCUAAAAGAGUUCAACUCAGUGAACUGAUCCAAAAUUAAAAUUUUGGGUAGAAAGAUUAAACAGCAUCAAAACUCAAUGUAAAGACAGGCAAGAUAUUUUUAGGGGAAAAAUCCUCCACCUUCAUUUAUAGGCAGUGGUGCCAAAUCAGACUGUGUGCUGGAAAUCUUUUUUUGUCCUUCAGCUAUUACUGUUUUCAACAUUCAGAGAAAACACCCAAAAUGUUGCCUAUAUUACAAAACAAUUUUUCUACUUCUGAAAAUUCAAACAGAAACUGAAAAUGUCAAUAUUUAGAAUCACUGUGUGUCUUCUCCUUUUAUGAACAAUCUUCUUGGUAAAUACACUACUAAUCCACUUGGUUACUCUGCCACGUGCUGUUCUGUUCAACCGCAUUAAAAUUCUGUAAAGGAUGCAAUAUACUCCUGUUAAUUCACACAAGUACAGUUUGAAAGAGCAUGUUUUGUUAUUUCAAAUAUAAUAUAAAGUGUGCUCCAUUCAUGAGUAAGCUUUGUUUUCCUGGUCUACUUAGCCAUUGUAAAACUUAAAGCCAUGCAAAGAUGUUUCCACAAAUCCAUUAAAAUUCCUUCCAGAAGAACACAAAAAGAGCACAGAAAUUGUUAUGUUGGUGGUUGUAACAGAGGGGGAAAACAUAACAAGGGAGAAGAUGGCCAAACGAAAUAAUAUUUUUAAAAGCUGCAGAAAAGACCAUAUGUGUGUGAAUGCAAAACCAUAGCUCAGCCUCAGAGCAUCAGGAGGGGAGCACAAGUGAGCUGCUUCUGAACAACAACAUCCAUGGAUCCUGGGAGCUCCAGACGACACGCCGUUGGGCCCCAAAGUCUAAACUCAGGGAAUAAAACUAGCUAGGCUACAUCACUUCUAAGAUUUUAGCCCAGCUUCACAUUAACCCAAGGGGAAUUUAAAACACAACAUAAACAUGUGUUUAAACAAAGUUAGAAGAAAGCUUGUUGUCCUGUCUCCUGUUUUAAUUAAAUAUGUUUUAUAUGAAAAGCAUAGCUUACAAAUGCAAGCUAUGCGGUUUCUCUGGCAGCAUUACAGCUCUAAGUAAACACACUAUAGUAUUAUUUUGUUUGCUUUCUUCCCUAAUUAAGUUUUAAAAGUUUCCUCAGCUCUCUGUGUGGCUGCUUCAGUUUUGGCAGUAGUACUGUGGCAAAGGGGACUGGGAAGAAGACUAUGCUUUCUCUUCCUCCCUCCCUCCCUCCACCAAGUAAACCAAUCACAGAUCAAUUGGAAAUCCCUUCUCGUUCUUUUAAGAUAUAUAGCUGACAGAUUACAUGCCACAAGUGAAGCAUGAGCCCUAUGGGUCAUACCAGUAUGAGAGUCCAUACCCUCCCACUGGGAGAGAAACGAAGCAGUUGACUGCACUGAUCACAGGACGUGCAGCUCGAGCACCCAGACUGUGCUGCACGCUUCACAGCAGAAAUCGGAGCUGAGCCACAAAAUUUGAAGCCAAAGAUGAAUUUUAUCAUCCUUUGAGGGUGCUUGGAUUUCUCCUUUUACCUUCUUCAGAAGCUAUGGGUUUUCAGGUUCAAGGCUUUGCUAUAAAAGUGUUAGCAUUUCACAAAUCCAGGUCAUUGUCUGCUCUUUAAAAUGAAGCAUGCGUAAUCCAACGUCAUUCAUCAUUUUGGCAUAAACAAUAUGCUAUCAGCAAAGCAAUUUCCCAUCUCAGGCUCUUCCUAGCCCUUUGAUAGCCCUCUGAAUGCAUCCAGUCUGUCCAGGACAAUUUAACAUACUGGCCAGGUACUGGAAUACUUAACUGGCCUUGCAUUAAAACACUUGGCAUCACCCUUGAUGUGAAGCGCUGGAUAGGCAUCUCUUGUCUCUAUCCAGUUUCUGAUGUUGUAAUCAAUCAGGAAAAUAAAUCCAACAUGAAACUGUGUA